rfam:Ignicoccus hospitalis KIN4/I, complete genome.
AACCGGGGUAGGGCCGGAGGGCUCGCCCCCCUCCCCCCGUAAGGGGCCCGAAUUGGGCGAAAGGCGGGGGCCAGUAACUCCCCGAGGCUCCCCGCGGUCCCGUGGGGGGCGUCGUCCGCGCAAUGGCCCUCGCCCCGCGGGGCCCGCGGUGGCGGAGCCUCCGCCGAAGGGCGGAGGUCAACCGCCUUAACCGGGGGAACCAGGUCAGGCCCGGAAGGGAGCAGCCUAACCCCGGCCGCGGCGCGUUCGCGGGAGAACGGGGGGAGCGCGGGCGGCGCUGACCCCCGCGGGGGCGCCGCGGGGGCUCCGGUC